CAGACUUCUAUUGCAAUCUAACUGCUAGAAGCAGAGCCCAUCCUCCUUACAACCAUAGAUCAAAACAUGUUUGCUUAAGUUUUUAGCUGUCUCUAUGGCUGCAAGCUCAAAACAGCUUUGGCAAAUUCCAAAGCUUAGUCAAAGUAAAUUGUUACUUCUCUGAGAAAGAAGAGGAAAACUAAUGUGGGAAAUGAAGAGGAAAAAAGCAUGCAUGGAAUGAAAAGGAAAAUGCAUCUAAAAAGAGAAGAGAAGGAGCGAUGCAUAAAGUGGAAUGCUGUGCAGGAAAUCUCUGAUCUUUGGCUGAGACAUCCAUCAGAUAAAGAAGAGAGAUCAAAACAGAAAAUUGUAUAGGACUAUGGAAACCUUGCAGAGGAUUUUUUUAGGAAAUGCUGUUAUAGCUGAAAUUCUGCAAGAGCCCUAUGUUUUUCCAAAAAGUUGUUCAAAAAUGAUCAAAGACUCACAUGAAGCCUGAGGAAUUAUUUGCCUUACUUAGAAGGAACAUCAGACACGUCAGUGGGCUAAGCUUUUAUUUCACCUCCUGCCAGUUCCUUGCUGUGCCAUGAUAUGUUACGGGCUGAUAGGUAAUAGAAUGAGCUUCAGAAGAACUUGAGGGCUGUGAAUAGGGAUUUCACAGAUUCAGUUCAAUAAAGAAUAAAUUUCUAGGAAGCCAUGUGAAUAAUUUGAUUCAGCUGUGAUUUUAAAGGCAGACAAGUAUGGUGGGGAAAACAACAACAAAAACAGCAAAACAGAAUUGUACCAUACUGAGAGGGUUUUCCUCUCCAAAUACCCUGUUUGGAUUGUGAAUAUGAAAAAGCAAAUACAGU
rnacentral:lncRNA from 1 species